GACGAACGCUGGCGGCGUGCUUAACACAUGCAAGUCGAACGGUGAAGGGACCGGUUUUUGCUGGUUCUGGAUGAGUGGCGAACGGGUGAGUAACACGUGAGUAACCUGCCCCCUUCUUCUGGAUAACCGCAUGAAAGUGUGGCUAAUACGGGAUAUUCUGCGCCUGCUGCAUGGUGGGUGUGGGAAAGAUAUUGUUUCGGUGGGGGAUGGGCUCGCGGCCUAUCAGCUUGUUGGUGGGGUGAUGGCCUACCAAGGCGGUGACGGGUAGCCGGCCUGAGAGGGUGGACGGUCACACUGGGACUGAGACACGGCCCAGACUACUACGGGAGGCAGCAGUGGGGAAUAUUGCACAAUGGGCGCAAGCCUGAUGCAGCGACGCCGCGUGAGGGAUGGAGGCCUUCGGGUUGUAAACCUCUUUCGCCAGUGAAGCAGGCCUGUCCCUUUUGUGGGUGGGUUGACGGUAGCUGGAUAAGAAGCGCCGGCUAACUACGUG
rnacentral:rRNA from 1 species